UACAGAGGGUGCGAGCGUUAAUCGGAAUUACUGGGCGUAAAGCGCGCGUAGGCGGUCUGUCACGUCGGCUGUGAAAACCCGAGGCUCAACCUCGGGCCUGCAGUCGAUACGGGCAAACUAGAGUACUGCAGGGGAGACUGGAAUUCCUGGUGUAGCGGUGAAAUGCGCAGAUAUCAGGAGGAACACCCAUAGCGAAGGCAGCUUGCUGGGACGUUACUGACGCUAAGGCGCGAAAGCGUGGGGAGCGAACAGG
rnacentral:rRNA from 1 species